UGUGAGUUGCUAUAAGAUAUGUUUGAUAUUCUUGGUUGUAUUUUUAAUUCACCCAGGAGUCAAACAUAUUAUUAUAGAAGCGUCA
rnacentral:pre_miRNA from 15 species